rnacentral:pre_miRNA from 1 species
UUAGUUCAUAUUUGUAUGGAAUGGGAUCGUUUGCGUACGUUUGUCGCUAGGGGCGCUGUUCCAACUGCAUACAAAAUUGGCUUA